GAUGAACGCUGGCGGCGUGCCUAAUACAUGCAAGUCGAGCGAACAGACGAGGAGCUUGCUCCUCUGACGUUAGCGGCGGACGGGUGAGUAACACGUGGAUAACCUACCUAUAAGACUGGGAUAACUUCGGGAAACCGGAGCUAAUACCGGAUAAUAUAUUGAACCGCAUGGUUCAAUAGUGAAAGACGGUUUUGCUGUCACUUAUAGAUGGAUCCGCGCCGCAUUAGCUAGUUGGUAAGGUAACGGCUUACCAAGGCAACGAUGCGUAGCCGACCUGAGAGGGUGAUCGGCCACACUGGAACUGAGACACGGUCCAGACUCCUACGGGAGGCAGCAGUAGGGAAUCUUCCGCAAUGGGCGAAAGCCUGACGGAGCAACGCCGCGUGAGUGAUGAAGGUCUUCGGAUCGUAAAACUCUGUUAUUAGGGAAGAACAUAUGUGUAAGUAACUGUGCACAUCUUGACGGUACCUAAUCAGAAAGCCACGGCUAACUACGUG
rnacentral:rRNA from 1 species